GUGGGCAUCUAAUCUCGGUGAUUACCAUUUAGAUUUAAUUCUUUAUCAUUUGCAUGGUGGUGCAUUUGUGAAAAUUAUUUGAGUAAAUAGUGAAUGCCAUUAGGUCUGAGAAAUCCAAAACUAAAUAACCUGAAGUAUAAGAUGGUUCUUUUAGCUAGGUCAUAUAUGAGAAGAAAUAAUUUAUUGACUAGAAAAAAUGGGCCUUUGGGCUCAUUGAAUGUUUAGUC
rnacentral:lncRNA from 1 species